AUUGAACGCUGGCGGCAUGCCUAACACAUGCAAGUCGAACGGGGUGUAGCAAUACAUCUAGUGGCGGACGGGUGAGGAAUACAUAGGAAUUUGCCCUUAAGUGUGGGAUAGUCCGGGGAAACUCGGUUUAAUACCGCAUGAUCUCGUGAGAGCAAAGCAGGGGACCGCAAGGCCUUGCGCUUUUGGAGAAGCCUAUGUCGGAUUAGCUAGUUGGUAGGGUAAUGGCCUACCAAGGCGACGAUCCGUAACUGGUCUGAGAGGAUGAUCAGUCACACCGGAACUGAGACACGGUCCGGACUCCUACGGGAGGCAGCAGUGGGGAAUAUUGGACAAUGGGCGCAAGCCUGAUCCAGCAAUGCCGCGUGUGUGAAGAAGGCCUCGG
rnacentral:rRNA from 1 species